GUAAUUUUCAAUCUCGCAACACUGCCCAGACUGACGUGCGCGCAGCGGUCGUACGCCAUGUUUAUUUUUCGAACUGUGUUGAGCGAAAGGUUUUUUCAUUGUCAAUUAUAAAUUGAAGCGCAUCCACUCUGGCCGAAGAAAUCGAAAUUGUAGGUUUUCCCGUUCCUUCAACGACUCCAGCUUCAGCAAUGCGAACAACAUCUACGCCAAACCGGCGUCAGCACCAAAACCAAAUCACUGGUCAUGUCUAUCUCAGCGCUCAGGUUCGCUCCCUAUACUAUCCCACCAGCAAGGAAUCAUUAAACUCAACUUGGCUCUCGGUGUCCGUCCUCAAACUGUACGGAUUGGACCGAGCGGAACCACUUCCUCCAGGGCUACCUGCUGCAGGGAGCCGACGAAGCCUUUCGUCAUUAAAAGUUUGUUGAGAUGACCGAAGUGCUCGGCUUUAUAAUGAAUCUGGGCAUUGACAAGAAUCAUAAUAUGUUCAAGCUGGCGGAAAUAGCCGAAAAGCUGCGAAUCGAUAUCGCAGGGGAUUGAGCGAAUCGUGUUUCUGGCGAAAAUCCUGAUCCAUAUCCGGACCGUUUGCGAGCGUUCAAGAAAGAAUCGGCUUCGUAGCGCCUCCGAACGCGAAGGAAAUCCAGCAAAACAAGGGCUACCCUGAGUCUGCGGAUCGAUACUGCGGAUUCCUGAUGACUGAUCAAUGUGUAUCGUCGUUGCAUGGUAUCUACCGGCGCUUUCGUAUUUGCUUAUGUAUAAUAUCAUAUGUAGAUGUGCUGAAAAUAUAGAAUCAUAUCUUUAAUUUACGAAUCCUUCAAAAAA